rnacentral:tRNA from 1 species
AGCGAAAUAGUUUAGCGGUUAUAACAAUGGAAUCAUAAUCCGUGUGCCGUAGGUUCAAAUCCUACUUUCGCUA